CAUGCAAGUCGAACGAAGUAGCAAUACUUAGUGGCAGACGGGUGAGUAACAUGUAGGUAUCUUCCCAUUGGUGAGGAAUAACACGAGGAAACUUGUGCUAAUACCUCAUAAGUCUUUACGGAGAAAGCUUUAUGCGCCGAUGGAUGAGCCUGCACUUGAUUAGUUUGUUGGUAGGGUAAUGGCCUACCAAGACAAUGAUCAAUAGCUGAUUUGAGAGGAUGAUCAGCCACAUUGGGACUGAGACACGGCCCAAACUCCUACGGGAGGCAGCAGUAGGGAAUCUUGCACAAUGGGGGAAACCCUGAUGCAGCGAUGCCGCGUGAGUGAAGAAGGCCUUUGGGUUGUAAAGCUCUUUCGUCGGGGAAGAAAAUGACUGUACCCGAAUAAGAAGGUCCGGCUAACUUCGUGCCAGCAGCCGCGGUAAUACGAAGGGACCUAGCGUAGUUCGGAAUUACUGGGCUUAAAGAGUUCGUAGGUGGUUAAAAAAGUUGGUGGUGAAAUCCCAGAGCUUAACUCUGGAACUGCCAUCAAAACUUUUUAGCUAGAGUAUGAUAGAGGAAAGCAGAAUUUCUAGUGUAGAGGUGAAAUUCGUAGAUAUUA
rnacentral:rRNA from 1 species